UAUAUAUACACCAAACCAUUACUUUGUACGCCUUAAAUUUACGCAAUGUUAUAUGUCAAUUAUAUCUCAAUAAAGCUGGAAACUUAUUUUAAAAUAAAUAAACAAGUUGAAAACAGAAAUUGUAGUACAGAUUACCUUAUGGUCAAUUUUUGCAAAUGUUUCAUGUGCACUUGAAAAGUGUGUGUAUAUAUAAAUUUGUUACAGGGAUUUGACUUUACACAAUUGUGGGAGCUGGUUAAACAAUCUCUGAAAGGUUCUUGUCUUCUCAUCUGAUGUUAGAGCUUGAAGUCUGCAGGGCAGGCAUUUGGGAAGGAAAGAUGGAUGUAAAGUGGGAGAGAUCAGGAACAAGCUGGAAACUACUAACAUGAGCUGGAACCUAAGAGGAAAGACUGGAACAAUGUCAGUUCUCACUACUCCAAGCAUAACAUAGGUGUCCUGAAGGAAAAACUACUGCUGUUUGUCCUCAAGCUGAACAUACAUCUGGCUCAGCAGUUGGAGAACCUGAAGGAGGAUCCAGUGGAAGGUGAAAGAGCUGCAGGACUAGCAGCUGCCCCACACCAACAAGGUGAGCCAGCAAAUAUGUGACAUCUGGUGACCGCCCUGAACUUGUGCGUGUGAAAAUACAGUGUGACUGCUGCUUCACUACAUCCUCUGAAUCUCAGGCAUAAAUGUCCCUUGUGGCCCACCGUAACCAGAAACAUGCUGAACAGGGAAUUCUGGGAAAUGUAGUUCAGCUUAGACAAGUUGAACAAAGACACAGCAGGAUUGUACAAAUGUAAAAUUUUAUAUUUUUCUUAUAAGUUGAAAGUAUAUAUAAAAUGACCCUCUUAAUUUCUAUAAGUGCUGUUUGCCUUGAGAUCUAUUUAAUAUAGCUUGUCUGGUUUUCUCUUGGUUAGUGCUUACAAGAUAUUUUUCCAUCUACUCACUUUCAGUUUCAUUAUCUUUGUGUUUUAGAUCUGUCUCCGGUAAACAGCUUAUAGUGGAAUUCAUUUUUUAAACAGCCUGGCAAGUGUUGUCUUUCUACAGGCUUUCCAUCUGGAAUCACUUUCCUUCUGCCUAAAGUACAUAUUUUAGAAUUUCCUUCAGUAAGGAUUUGCUCUCGGUAAAUAUAUUCAGUUUUUGUUUUUCUGAUAUGAUCUUCAUUUUACCUAUAUUUAGAAAAUAUUUUACACUACGUAUAAAAUGUUAUGUUGACAUUUAUUGUCACCUACCACAUCAAAGAUAUACUUCUGUUAUCAAAAAUAUGCAGCUAUGCUUUUUCUGUUAGCUGUUGAGAAGACAGCUGACCGUCUGUUGCUCUUUUGAAGUUAGGUUGUCUUUUCAUUCUCUUUGCUUUUAUUAUUUUUAAAAACUUUUAAAAUGUGAAAUAUGUAGAAAAAUGAAUAAUACGUAUAUGUGCAUUUUAACACGUGGUGGUUAAGGAAAUAUUGGCCUUAUAUACAACACUCAGAUCAAGAAUGGAACAUUACUUGCAGACCAGUGCUAGUAAUGUUUUCCUUCCUUUUCUUUGUUUUUGUUUUUAAUCUUGUAAUAUGUUGAAUUUCACUGAUUUUUAAUGUUAACUUCAUUCCUAAGAUAAGUUCAUUUUGGUCAUGAUAUAUUUUCAUUUUUAUAUAUUUCUGGAUUUUGCCAUUCUAUUUUCUAGGAUAUUUGCAUCUAUAUUUAUUGCCUAUAAUUUUCUUCUGUGAUCUUUUCUCUGUUCAGUUUUGGUAUCAAAGUCGUGUUAAUCUCACAGUUGAAGUAAGGUAUGUUUCCUCUAUUUCGCUUCCUUAGAAGAGUUUGUGUAAGAUUGGGAUAAUUUUUUCCCUGAAUAUUUGAUGGAACUUAACAGUGAAGUCAUUUGGCCUGAUGUGUUCAAGAAUACACUUUUAAUCAUUGACUCACUUACAAGUGAGUUGAUAAUUAUAAGUUUAUAAGAUUGUAUGUCUAUUUGGGUUUUUAAAUUUUUCUUGAGUGAACUUUUGUUAGGUACAUUUUUCAGAAUUUGUUUAUUUUAUCUAAGUUUUCAGAUUAACUGGCAUAAUUUGUUAAUAAUGUUUUCUCUGGUAGUCAUUAGAGCUGUUUGCCAAACAUCUCUGGUUCUUUAAUCUUCUUGACACAUGGGAGAAUUGUACUUUCUGGCCCUUUUGUGCUUGGAUGUGGCCACGUGAUUAGUUUGGGUCAAUGAAUUGUGUACUAAGUGAUACAUGUGACUAGUUUGGGUCAACGAAUUGGGAGCUAAGUGUAAGAAGUAUGUCACUUCUGACUGGAGCAUUUAAUUAAAGCAAGAUCCUCCAGAGCUCCUCCUUUCCCCUGUAAAAUAAAUAGUAACAUUUUAUAUAGUAUCUUCUCCAUUAGCCAAGGUGUCUGAGUGACUUCCAGGAGAAGAGUCCCUCUGCCAACAAUAGGCAUGUAACACAAGCAAGAAAUAAAUCUUUGUUGUUUUCUGUUACUAUAGCGUCAUCUAGCUUUUCUGAUAGAUGAUGCUCUUAUCUGUUUAAUGUCAUUGUAGCAUCUGCAAUGAUAUUCCCCUUUUCAUUCCUGAUAUUUGCCAUUCAAUCUGUUUCUGCCUCUCUCUCUCUCCCUCC